rnacentral:lncRNA from 1 species
GGGAAAAGCCAGAGCGAGAAACCGAAGGAAGAAACAGAACGAGCAAUCCGGGUGAAUGGCAGUUUCGGUAAUUAAACAGAAUGGGAGGUUAUUUUGUGAUAAACAUACUGGCGCCAUCAGCGCGGCCGUUUGGAGGGGAAAGCGGUCUCAGCGCAGCAGAGAAGAAGGCGGGAGAAGCAAGGGGCGUUGCAAUAGUUGGACCCAGCAUAAGUCGCGUUUUGAUCGGUUCAUUUUGGCGGUCUCGCACCAGGCGAUGCAAAAGGCGUUGCAAAAGUUCGGGGGG